rnacentral:lncRNA from 13 species
AUGUUCUGGGACUCUUCCGAUGACAUUGAGGAAUACACCACAUCAGUCACUGGCUUUAUUAAUAAGUGCAUUGAGAACGUCGUCCCCACAGUGACUGUACGUACAUACCUCAACCAGAAGCCAUGGAUUACAGGCAACAUUCGCACUGAGCUAAAGGGUAGAGCUGCCGCUUUCAAGGCGUGGGACUCUAACCCGGAAGCUUACAAGAAAUCCCGCUAUGCCCUGCAACGAACCAUCAAGCAGGCAAAGCGCCAAUACAGGGCUAAGAUUGAAUUAUACUACACCGGCUCCGACGCUCAUCGGAUGUGGCAGGGCAUGCAAACUAUUACAGACUACAAAGGGAAGCACAGCCGUGAGCUGCCCAGUGACAACAGCCUACCAGACGAGCUAAAUCACUUCUAUGCUCGCUUCGAGGCAAGCAACACUAAGGAAUGCAUGAGAGCAUCGGCUGUUCCGGACGACUGUGUGAUCACGCUCUCCAUAGCCGACGUGAGUAAGACCUUUAAACAGGUCAACAUACACAAGACAAGACGGAUUGCCAGGACGUGUGCUGACCAACUGACAGGUGUCUUCACUGACAUUUUCAACAUGUCCCUGAUUGAGUCUGUAAUACCAACAUGCUUGAAGCAGACCACCAUAGUCCCUGUGCCCAAGAACACAAAGGCAACCUGCCUAAAUGACUACAGACCCGUAGCACUCACGUCCGUAGCCAUGAAGUGCUUUAAAAGGCUGGUAAUGGCACACAACACCAUCAUCCCAGAAACCCUAGACCCACUCAAAUUUGCAUACCGCCCAAACAGAUCCACAGAUGAUGCAAUCUCUAUUGCACUCCACACUGCCCUUUCCCACCUGAACAAAAGGAACACCUAUGUGAGAAUGCUGUUCAUUGACUACAGCUCAGCGUUCAACACCAUAGUACCCUCAAAGCUCAUCACCAAGCUAAGGAUCCUGGGACUAAACACCUCCCUCUGCAACUGGAUCCUGGACUUCCUGACAGGCAGCCCCCAGGUGGUGAGGGUAGGUAGCAACACAUCUGGCACGCUGAUCCUCAAUACUGGAGCUCCCCAGGGGUGCGUGCUCAGUCCUCUCCUGUACUCCCUGUUCACCCACGACUGCAUGGCCAGGCACAACUCCCAAACCAUCAUUAAGUUUGAUGACGACACAACAGUGGUAGGCCUGAUCACCGACAACGACGAAACAGCCUAUAGGGAGGAGGUCUGA